CGGUGAAAGGCCCCCAGCGAGGAAGAUGAAGGCGAAGGCGAAGGCCCACCGCCCCACCUCAAGGUCAGGGGUGAAGGACAAAUCCAAAUCCAAAUCCAAAUCCAAGUAUUCAGCAAAACCUAUCCUCUGGGGGCUACCCAGCACUGUAACUCUCAGCUUGACAUCGCAAUCUCACGGAGAAGAAAUCGUAUUUGUAAGCUCGAGCGAUUGGGCGAGGGUUCCGAGAAUCAGAUUCAUCAGGCAAGCAGCGGGACGGUGAAAACCCUAAUUUGCCCUCGAAAGGCUCUGCAGAUGCUGCAGAGACGAAAGGAGAUAUGGCGAUCAAAACAAGUGUCAAUUCAUCUCGUGAGGGGGCCUAUCGCUUUCGGAUAACAAUAAUUCACAAAAAUCAAAAUGCAUUUCAUUAUGACAACUUUUCCACCCUGUCAAUGGAUAUGAGGGGAUCAGGGAGAAGGCACUAGAGAUUGGGAAAUUUGGAGGGCUGGCUGAUACAUGAUGGGAUAAGAAGGUAAGUAAAUAAAUUAUUAUAUUUUUGGAGAAACAAAAGUUGUGGCUGCAGUUGGCCUGUGAGUUCCCCUGUAUCCCACUCCAUCACCCGGUCUCUGUCCCUCUCCUCUCCUGUAAGCUCUCUCUCUCCCCCACAGGUCCUUUUUCUUGCCAGUGGCAUAAAAGCCAAACUGCAUUGGGGAAAUUAGAUUCCCCAAAUUUUGGGAGAAAAUAAAGUAAAACUAAAGGAUGAGUGCUCAAUUUAUGAUUCCAAAUGCAUCUUGUCUUGCUUACUGCCCCAAAUCCCUUGUCAUAGAAAUGGAAAUCAUAGGCAAAAGCCAAAAUCUUGAUACAGAGAGAUUGUAAAUAUAGUUCAAAAGGAGGGUUCUUGGAUUUGGUUUUUUUUCUUUUUGGGAAUUUUGGAAGAUGGCUGGAAGUGGGUGUAACAUAGUGUGGUUGAGGAGAGAUCUGAGGGUAGAGGAUAAUCCAGCUCUGGCGGCUGGAGUUCGAGCAGGGGCGGUGGUUGCAGUGUUCAUAUGGGCCCCUGAAGAAGAAGGCCAUUACUACCCUGGAAGGGUCUCAAGAUGGUGGCUCAAGCAUAGUUUGUCUCACCUUGAUUCCUCCUUGAGGAGCCUUGGCACAGCUCUCAUCACCAAGAGAUCUACUGAUACAGUUUCCACUCUCCUUGAGGUUGUCAAGUCUACUGGCGCCAGCCAGCUCUUCUUCAACCACUUAUAUGAUCCCUUGUCGCUUGUUAGGGAUCACAGGGUAAAGGAUGUUUUAACUGCUCAAGGGAUAGCUGUACGGUCCUUCAAUGCAGAUUUACUCUACGAACCUUGGGAAGUUCAUGAUGACCAAGGUCAGCCAUUCACAACAUUUGCAGCUUUCUGGGAGAGAUGCCUUAGCAUGCCGUAUGAUCCUGAGGCUCCACUUCUCCCACCUAAGAGGAUAAUCUCAGGUGAUGUGUCUAGAUGCCCUUCUGACAUGCUGGUAUUUGAGGAUGAAUCAGAGACGGGAAGCAAUGCACUCCUUGCUCGAGCAUGGUCACCUGGAUGGAGUAAUGCUGAUAAGGCACUAACUACCUUCAUUAAUGGGCCAUUGAUUGAGUACUCCAAGAACCGUAGAAAGGCUGAUAGUGCCACAACCUCAUUUCUCUCACCCCAUUUACAUUUUGGGGAAGUGAGUGUGCGGAAGGUUUUCCAUCUUGUUUGCAUUAAGCAAGUUCUUUGGGCUAAUGAAGGAAAUAAAGCUGGUGAAGAGAGUGUCAAUUUGUUCCUUAAGUCUAUAGGUCUAAGGGAAUAUUCACGAUAUAUGAGUUUUAACCACCCAUACAGCCAUGAAAGGCCUCUUCUUGCACACUUAAAGUUUUUCCCUUGGGUUGUGGAUGAGGGGUAUUUUAAGGCAUGGAGACAAGGUAGAACCGGUUACCCAUUGGUGGAUGCUGGCAUGAGAGAGUUGUGGGCAACCGGUUGGCUGCAUGAUCGAAUACGAGUCGUAGUUUCCAGUUUCUUUGUGAAGGUUCUACAGCUGCCAUGGCGAUGGGGAAUGAAGUAUUUCUGGGAUACCCUAUUGGAUGCAGAUCUUGAGAGUGAUGCUCUUGGUUGGCAGUAUAUAUCUGGCACCCUCCCUGAUGGUCGUGAACUUGAUCGUAUAGAUAAUCCACAGUUUGAGGGUUACAAAUUUGACCCAAAUGGAGAAUAUGUACGGCGGUGGUUACCUGAACUUGCCAGACUUCCUACAGAAUGGAUACACCACCCCUGGAAUGCUCCAGAAUCUGUACUCCAAGCUGCUGGAAUUGAGCUAGGUUCCAACUAUCCUCGUCCCAUUGUAGAAAUUGAAGCAGCAAAAGCCAGGUUGCAGGAAGCACUCUCCAAGAUGUGGCCUGCAUUCGAGAAUGGUAUGGAAGAAGGCUUUGGAGACUCUGAGUCAAUGCCGAUUGCAUUUCCAACUGAUAUCCAAAUGGAUGUGGAUCAUGAACCCGCAAGGAACAACCCUGGUACAGUUCCUCGACGCUAUGAGGAUCAGAUGGUUCCAAGCAUGACUACUUUUUCAAGGGGGGAAGAGGAAGAAGCUUCUUUGGAUCAGCGAAAUUCUACAGUAGAUAGCAGGGCUGAAGUUCCAACACAUGUUCAUGUAAAUCAAGAAUCAAUAAGAGAAACACUCAACCAAGAAAACAUGCAAACAGUCAGAGCCGAAGCAACUUUGCCACAAUUUAAUAUUGCAAUUGGGCUACGAGAUGCUGAAGAUUCUGCAGGAGAAACUUCAAGCGGUAGUCGGAGGAGAGAAAGGGAUGGUGGUGUAGUUCCGGUAUGGUCUCCAUCAACAUCUAGUUACUCUGAGCAGCUUCUUGGUGAGGAAAAUGGCAUCGGAACUAGUUCAUCUUACUUGCAGAGGCAUCCACAAUCUCACGAAUUAUUGAACUGGAGACGGCUUUCUCAAACUGGGUAAUUAAACAACGGAUUUUGAUGCAUUAAGUUGGGUCCGGCAAUAAUGGUUUUUAACCCUUUUCUGACAUGGUACCAAUAAUUUCUUACCUCAGUUAUUUCAAAGUGAACAUUUACAAAUCGGAAGACAAGUUGGGAGGUGGUCCGGGCAAUUUGGCCUUUCCUUGUCGACCACUUUUCACCAGUCAGACCCUAUCAAAUUUGUCACCCACUGUAUAUGACAUGUCAAAGUGGUGCGGGCUUAUCCCUGUCCUCUUACUGUAUCCUGUUGUACCAUAUUUGAAUCUCUGCUGUAUAGUAAACGUAGUAUUCUCAAGGAGAGAAAAGAAUCGCAUUAGAGACAUGCAAUCCCUCCUAUAAACUCAGGUUUAUGCUUUUUCGUUUUAUUCGUAGAGAAUAAUCAGUAAAAACGUAUUCUGUGUAUCUCCUUGCCUUUUCAAUGUUUCGUCCAAAUACAUACCUCCGUACUUGUGUACUGCUUUCAGACCUGCAACUGGACUAUGAAGCUGUAUCUUUAUUCUCUUUCAUUAUUCA